rnacentral:misc_RNA from 1 species
AUUUGUAUUGGAUUUCUUCCGUAGUUAAGGUCAUUAAAACCUGCUGUUUCUAUGUUCUUAUUAAUUUGUAUUGGAUUUGUUUUGUAAGAUACAUAUAACAUUGCAACAAACAGAUGUUACAUGUCUUAAUAACUACUUUAUUAUGACCAUGUUAAGGAACUUAACUACGGAAGAAAUCCAAUACAAAUUAUGCCAUAGAAUGGCUUGUUUCAUGUUUUUGUAGUAGAGCCUGUGAUUUCUAAUAAACGAGAGGGG